ensembl:lncRNA
GGGAAUUAGAGAGGUAGAAACGGAACGAACGAAAAAGGGAGAGAGUGGGGUGAGAGAAUGAGGGAAUUAGAGAGGUAGAAACGGAACGAACGAAAUAGGGAGAGAGUGGGGUGAAAGAAUGAGGGAAUUAGAGAGGUAGAAACGGAACGAACGAAAAAGGGAGAGAGGGGUGAGAGAAUGAGGGAAUUAGAGAGGUAGAAACGGAACGAACGAAAUAGGGAGAGAGUGGGGGAAUUAGAGAGGUAGAAACGGAACGAACGAAAUAGGGAGAGAGUGGGGUGAAAGAAUGAGGGAAUUAGAGAGGUAGAAACGGAACGAACGAAAAAGGGAGAGAGUGGGGUGAGAGAAUGAGGGAAUUAGAGAGGUAGAAACGGAACGAACGAAAUAGGGAGAGAGUGGGGUGAGAGAAUGAAGGAAUUAGAGAGGUAGAAACGGAACGAACGAAAAAGGGAGAGAGUGGGGUGAAAGAAUGAGGGAAUUAGAGAGGUAGAAACGGAACGAACGAAAAAGGGAGAGAGUGGGGUGAGAGAAUGAGGGAAUUAGAGAGGUAGAAACGGAACGAACGAAAAAGGGAGAGAGUGGGGUGAGAGAAUGAGGGAAUUAGAGAGGUAGAAACGGAACGAACGAAAUAGGGAGAGAGUGGGGUGAGAGAAUGAAGGAAUUAGAGAGGUAGAAACGGAACGAACGAAAAAGGGAGAGAGUGGGGUGAGAGAAUGAGGGAAUUAGAGAGGUAGAAACGGAACGAACGAAAAAGGGAGAGAGUGGGGUGAGAGAAUGAGGGAAUUAGAGAGGUAGAAACGGAACGAACGAAAUAGGGAGAGAGUGGGGUGGGAGAAGGACGGAGGUUGCAGCAAGACGGCAGACAUGUUUUCCACAACAGCUGUUGAGCAAACAGAGUGAAGGGGUAGAGGCAAAUCCUACCACCUGCCCUUGUUUUACAAUGACGCCAGGUGACCAAUCAUACUCAGCCAUCAUGCUGCUCACCCUGCCCCACCUGACCACCUGGCCAAUCAAAUCAUUACCUCACAUAGGGGUUGUGACACGUACAAUAUUCCACUUAAUUGACGACCAUAAAUCAUUUUACACUUCAGUCAACCUUAAUGGACUUAUUAGUCCUACUUAUUCAUUACUUCUCAAACCUACUACCUAUAUAGGUCUCUACUUUGACACCCUAUUCCCUAUAUAGUGCACUACUUUGACACCCUAUUCCCUAUGUAGUGCACUACUUUGACACCCUAUUCCCUAUAUAGUGCACUACUUAGACACCCUAUUCCCUAUAUAGUGCACUACUUUGACAUCCUAUUCCCUAUAGGGCAAUCAUUUUGACCAGAGCCUGUUCUGAUCAACUGUACUGCACUAUAGGAAGCAAUAGGGUGUCUUUUGUGAUUGUCACCUCAGCCAACUGAACUGUGUCCAUCUAGCCAACCAAGUAGUAUUCAAUGGUGACAUUUUGAGCAACAUGUGUUUAAGGAAUUUUUUACAGUCCAUUGAAGAGUCAUUGGUAGAUCAAGGCUAGUGUGUGUAUGCUUGUGUGUGUAUGUGCGUGCAUUUGUGUGUGUGUGUGAGUAUACUUGCAUGUGUCCAUGUUUGCACUUGUUUGUAUGUGUGUAUAACAGAUCCCUUUUGUCCUUUCCACUCCUCACACAUGCUGCGUUUACCAUUAUAUAAUCACAGCAGAACCCAGAACUGACACAUCCUCUGGUGGGGAAGAACACAGGAAGAGAAAUAGUAACAG